GUAGCACUCAAUAAAUAGUUUUGAAAGGAUGGCUGCCUGGCUGGCUAGAUUGAGGGGUGGAUGAGUUCUACUGGCAUGUUUUUGGAAGGUAAGAGGAAGCAAAUGUGUUGCUGAUAAUAGGUCAAGAGUAGGCAAAGUAACCUAACUUUGAUUCUGUGGGAGAGAGUACCGUCCUAGCCAAGUCCAGUUUUGCAAAAUUCAAAUGAGCAUUUAUCUGUGUACUUGAAACUUAAGUGGGGAUUAUGGAAGAUAAUUCUCUUUCUGAUUAAACUGGUGAGUUUAUUUUGAAAGAAACUCUGCUCUGAGUGGAGUCAGCUCUAUUAUUUCUUUAGCCCAGUGCAGGAAUCGACAAUCCACAGUGGACAGGCCACGGCAGCAAGAUAUGGUUCCCAGGGUUUGAUGGUUUCUACUCUAAUCACCAAAUAAAAUUCCAAGUAGGCCUUUUGUCUUUAUUUUCCCUCCUCUGAUUUCCACCCUUUUACCUGGCGUCCUCUCUGUUUCCUUGGGACUCGUUACUUUCCUGAUUCUUUAAGUUAUACACAGUAUUAGCCCCACUAGUCCUGCCCCCACCACCCUGCUCCCACUACAGCAUCCUUCCAGAUUCAAUGUGUCUUCUUCAGGGACUACACAUUUUUCAAAAUUGUUUCUCUUUCUACUCCUCUCAAACCCUUUUUAUCCUCCCAUACUUUCAUGUCCGAGCGACCUUUUUAUUUCUUUAGAAGGACUGACUAUAGCCUUGUGCCAGGAGGUAAAUACUCAUAUAAGCUUGACUAACAGCUAAGCUUAAAUGGGAGUGUCAGCCCCUAUUGUGAAAUGGGAUCCACUUUUGAAAAGAAACUCAAAUUUGCCUCUGUGGUGUAACUUACAGGGUGGUGCCACGUGUUUCCACCUGUUCAAACUGACUCUCCACCAGAGUGAAAUUGACACAGCCAGAGUCAGCGACACCAUUGAUGGAGCAAUCAAGGACGUGAUCUAGAGCUGAAAGUGCCAGAAACUAUCUGCUGUCCCUGAAAUACAGUAGGGAACCUCUCCAGGUCAAAACCAAAGACACUUUGAAACUUCAGAUUCGAGACUGGAAAGGGAUCUCAGUCCAAUGUAAUGAUUUCAAAGAAAAUGAAAUAGAGGCCCAGGGAAGUUAAAUGGGCUCUGCAAAGCCCCAGCAUUCAUCAGAAUAAUACCAUAUCUUUUAGAUAUGUUUUUUUUCCUACAAAUAUUUUAAUUUUCUGUAUUGUAAAAUAUUUUGCUAAAGCACGAUGUUUCAGCUUACACAAUAUUCCAUCAGAGGUACUACCUCCUACUUAUGAAGAAACUACAAAGGAGAUUCUGCCCCGGGUCAUUCGAUAGACAGCAUGAGGUUGAUCAGAAGCCUACAGAAUGACUGACUGAAUGAGAAAAUCCAUUGUAAACCGUAAGAAAGAGCUAGAGUCAUAGAUACUGACCAUGGUUCUGUGGCAAAACAGAGGAGUUUGGAAGGACUGGAAAUACUUCCACCCCAGGAAUUUCCAGGACAUCUGGUGAAUGCAUAGAUAUUGCACUUCUCAACCUACAGAACCAAGAGUAGGAACUUUGCCAGAAAGAUUGUCACAGAUCUGCAAUGAUGCCUGAAGCCUGGAUUGAAAUAGUAGGCAAGCUUGAUACAUCUAUUCCCUUACUCGGUCUUGCUUUGGUAACACAUUGUGGUGGAAGAAAAUGAAUGCCAGUUCCAAGCCCCAAACUCAAGAGGCUUUGCCUGCUUCUGCACUUUCAGAACCCUGCCUGCACCAUGACAUCACGCCUGAGCUCGCUCCCUGGACAGUGAGAGACAACGUGGGGCAGAGCCAGUUGGAGUCUCUCUGGCAAUGAGGAUCUUUACCAAGACCAGAAAAGGAAUUUUCUGAUAACUUGUAUGAGUUUUUAUGGGAUUACCAAAGAUGAAAAGUCCAUAAAGAUGACCAACUUCCAAACUUCUGUGCACUUGAAGAUGUUUAAAUACAUUGAAUGACUGCUAUCAGAUUAAUGAACCAAAGACAGGAAAAGAUGAAGGACAAGUGGCAAGAGUGAAUGCAUUUUGGUGGUGUCAUUAUUUUUUCAAAGAAAAAAUAAUUUUCAGACUCCAAGGAUUGAAAACUCCUAAAGACAUCUUCAGGUGGAAAACAGAGCACCAUGUUUUUCUGUCUGCUACACUUCUUCUCACGGAUGGGAACAGCCAUGAGAGAAGAGGGCUGCCUGACCUUCACCAGGUGGGAACUCUUCCCUAUCUCUCCUAGGGAAGCUCAACAUGCAGGGGACACUGAUACAGCGACCAUGGCCAAUGUCUUCACUACAAGGAUGGCUGCUCAGGUAUGUCCCUGUGGUCUUGAGUAGGAACUGGCUGGGCUCCUAAGGGAACCUCUGAUUGUCUAAGAUGCUUCGAUUGCCCUGUUUAUCCCAGGAAAGAUAACCACUAGACCCUGUCCUCCCCAGGGAUUCCAAUUUUCCGCAGAGAACUGGACUCUGAUUCUAUAAACGCUCAUCUUGUCUUUGCCUUCGUCCCCUGUCAUCACUUCUUCUGAACCUGACACCAGCUGUGUGCCAUCUAUUAACCUGUCAUAUUCAUUGAUCUCCCUGAGAAAUCAAACUAUCCCUCUAAUUCCCCUGCCUGAUCUUUGCUUGCCAGAGCUUGAUCUUUGCUUGCCUCGCAAAAGAAAAGUAUAGUCUAUUUGCUUGAGCCCUAAUAGCCUCAAAUGCUGUAUAGUCAAUACAUGAUUUUCUGUACAUGUUAAACUUUAUGGCCUCAUUGAAAAUGAAAACUGGAUAACUGUGAUGUGACCUCCAAAGGCUCUAUGAAUAUAGAACUAAAGUAAGCACAGGGAUUAAGGAAGCUUAUAAUGAAAAGCAUAAAAUCUUUCUAUCAGUGUUUUCAUUUUUCAGCAGAAAAUGGACAGCUUAGGUAUUCAUUGAAACUCAUGCAAUAUCCAAAUGUAAACUGAGAA